AUCCUACGGAUUUUAGGAAUGAAUAACAGAAAUAAAAUCCACCUUUAAAAUGUUACAUUUAACAGUUGACUCACGGAGGCUGGAGAGGCUGCGGAGCUCCCCACAGCUCACACCUACAAUGGGCCCCGCUGGAGUCACGCAGGAGGCCCUCGAUCCGCCUGUCUGAACCGGUCUAAUAUAGGACGGAGACGUUUGGCCAUCAUAUAUGAAGCAUUUUUCCGCUAUUUCGGGACUUAUCCAAGCGUGCGCGCACGCAUCUCAGGGAUCUAAAUUCAAACUUUCUGUAAGGAUAUUCUAACAAGGACAUUUUUAAAUUAACUUUUUUUUUUAGGUGGAGGCAAUACUUGGAAGGUUUUUUUUUCCUUUCUCCUAUAUUAUUAUUUUUUCCCCCGGAGUGAUACUCGGCUGUAUUCCUCCUGAAUGUUCCUGGAAAUGUUGGAGAGCAAAACGGCGUUGGAUGGUAGCCGCUCUGAGAGGCCCGUUAGAAGGGAGGAUGAGAGAUGGUGAUGGAGAUGGAGCGUCGCUGCUUUAGGAGCGGAGCUUUGAUGCGCUUUGACGCAGGAGGGAGUGGAGGGAUGCGCGGAGCAGAAAGCCCUCUACCGAAGCACAGUGAACUCUUUCAAUAAUACUUGCAGGGUUGAGCAUCAGUCCACUGCAUUGUCCAUUUACAAACCGAGUUGCUUCAAGAGACUCCGCGCUGAUCGAUUAUCUGUUAAAGCAUAUAUUAUUAAGAUGCGCCGUAAACAGGCACAGUCUCUGUUGAAAGUAAACAUCUACAGCAUGGACGGUGGAGAGGGUAAAAUCGUGAUAGAGGCCUUUGGUUGACUCUCGGAUUUCUUUGCAUGGAUUGCAUCAGUCCCACUCUCGCCAUUCAGCCGGCGCUGUUGUUGGGAUGGGCAUGAAAUACACUGGCGACCAGUCCAGAGUGUACCCUGCCUCUCGCCUAAUGACUGCUGGAGACAGGCACCAGCCCCGCCCACAACGCUGCUCGGAUAAGCAGUGCUACCAUCAUUAAAGCUCAAGACUGCCGGUGGGCUGCAGCUGUGUGGAGAAAUGGUGGAGAAGCAACCUGCUUUACAGAAAAGCGGACAAUUUCUGGAGUGACUCCUUCUGAGAAAACAAAGACAGGUAAAUAUCGGAGCAGCACAGCAAGCUCCACUGUGGAGUAGGAGCUGUGGAGGGAGGGCUAUAGCGCAGUAGAGAGCAAGGGGGAGUGACCUUUAUGGUGUGCUUGUUGAAGUCCACGUUAUUCUAAAAACUUUCUACUCCAGCUUUAACUCACAGGACAUUUUCUGUCCUUUUCUACACCUAAAUGAGGCAAAGAAAAGACCAGUGCCCGAAAUCACAAAGAUUAUCUGAGUCCUCUCAGAGAGCUUCUAUCUUAACCUGAAAAUUCCUACCAGGGAGUUUUAGCUUACGAUUGAUCCAGAUAGUUGCUGAGAGCGACUCGGAGUAAGGCAAUUACAGAAAUGUUUAUUUUAGUAAGGAGGUGUG